UGGCCUUGAGCCGUGGCUUUCGGAGCUAACGCGUUAAGUAGACCGCCUGGGGAGUACGGUCGCAAGAUUAAAACUCAAAUGAAUUGACGGGGGCCCGCACAAGCGGUGGAGCAUGUGGUUUAAUUCGAUGCAACGCGAAGAACCUUACCUACUCUUGACAUCCAGAGAACUUUCCAGAGAUGGAUUGGUGCCUUCGGGAACUCUGAGACAGGUGCUGCAUGGCUGUCGUCAGCUCGUGUCGUGAGAUGUU
rnacentral:rRNA from 1 species